rnacentral:rRNA from 1 species
CGGAGGGAUCAUUACUGAGUUUACGCUCUAUAACCCUUUGUGAACAUACCUAUAACUGUUGCUUCGGCGGGUAGGGUCUCCGUGACCCUCCCGGCCUCCCGCCCCCGGGCGGGUCGGCGCCCGCCGGAGGAUAACCAAACUCUGAUUUAACGACGUUUCUUCUGAGUGGUACAAGCAAAUAAUCAAAACUUUUAACAACGGAUCUCUUGGUUCUGGCAUCGAUGAAGAACGCAGCGAAAUGCGAUAAGUAAUGUGAAUUGCAGAAUUCAGUGAAUCAUCGAAUCUUUGAACGCACAUUGCGCCCGCCAGCAUUCUGGCGGGCAUGCCUGUUCGAGCGUCAUUUCAACCCUCAAGCUCUGCUUGGUGUUGGGGCCCUACAGCUGAUGUAGGCCCUCAAAGGUAGUGGCGGACCCUCCCGGAGCCUCCUUUGCGUAGUAACUUUACGUCUCGCACUGGGAUCCGGAGGGACUCUUGCCGUAAAACCCCCAAUUUUCCAAAGGUUGACCUCGGAUCAGGUAGGAAUACCCGCUGAACUUAAGCAUAUCAAUAAGCGGAGGAAAAGAAACCAACAGG